UUUGAAAGUAAAAAACUGUAACAAGGUUUCCGUAGGUGAACCUGCGGAAGGAUCAUUA
rnacentral:rRNA from 1 species